AUAACACAAUAAGAACUGCAACAAAACUGUUACAACCUUAGGAGAACUGCACCCCAAAAGCUAGCUAUUAAGGUGGGAAAGCCCAGGGCUAUAAAUACUCCACAACAAUACUUUGUAGUAUCGAUGUGGGACUUUGCAAUGGAUCAUAACAAACCACCACGCUCCGCAUCCGUCGUCCUUUGCAAUGGAUCAUAACAAACCACCACGCUCCGCAUCCGUCGUCAUCCACGGCUCCACUCCAGGUAGCUUUCACUCUACUUAUGUAGGUAGCUCUUUCCCAGGUAGCCCUUUUCGAGUCAGGUACCCAGGUGCCUCGAUGGUUGUGCGCUAAACAUUGGUAGCCCGGCCGAACACUGCCAUAUCGACAUCACCAUCCUAGGCACGGUGGGCGCGAAGGGUGAUGGGUGGCUCUGAUACCACUAUUACAACCUUAGGAGAACCGCACCCCAAUAGCUAGCUAUUAAGGUGGGAGAGCCCAAGGCUAUAAAUACCCCACAACAAUACUUUGUAGUACCGAUGUGGGACUUUGCAAUGGAUCAUAACAAAAACAACACAAUAAUCGAGCUCCAAAGAACAACAUAACAGUAAACAAUAACAAAACGAAAACUACAACAAAACAACACGAUAAUCGAGCUCCAAAGAACAUCAUAAACAACACAAUAAUCGAGCUCCAAAGAACAACAUAACAAUAAACAAUAACACAACAAAAACUACAACAAAACAACACGAUAAUCGAGCUCCAAAGAACAUCAUAUAUAAUAACAAAAUAAUAACACAAAGAACAACAUAACAAUAAACAAUAACACAACAAAAACUACAACAAAACAACACGAUAAUCGAGCUCCAAAGAACAUCAUAUAUAAUA
rnacentral:lncRNA from 1 species